GACGAACGCUGGCGGCGUGCUUAACACAUGCAAGUCGAACGGUGAAGCGCCUUCCUUUUUGGUGGGUGUGGAUGAGUGGCGAACGGGUGAGUAACACGUGAGUAACCUGCCCCCUUCUUCUGGAUAACCGCAUGAAAGUGUGGCUAAUACGGGAUAUUCUGGGUCUGUCGCAUGAUGGGUCUGGGAAAGAUAUUGUUUCGGUGGGGGAUGGGCUCGCGGCCUAUCAGCUUGUUGGUGGGGUGAUGGCCUACCAAGGCGGUGACGGGUAGCCGGCCUGAGAGGGUGGACGGUCACACUGGGACUGGGACACGGCCCAGACUCCUACGGGAGGCAGCAGUGGGGAAUAGUGCACAGUGGGCGCAAGCCUGAUGCAGCGACGCCGCGUGAGGGAUGGAGGCCUUCGGGUUGUGAACCUCUUUCGCCAGUGAAGCAGGCCUGCCUCGUUUGUGGGUGGGUUGACGGUAGCUGGAGAAGAAGCGCCGGCUAACUACGUG
rnacentral:rRNA from 1 species